rnacentral:rRNA from 1 species
AGCGAACGCUGGCGGCAGGCCUAACACAUGCAAGUCGAACGAACCCUUCGGGGUUAGUGGCGGACGGGUGAGUAACACGUGGGAACGUGCCUUUAGGUUCGGAAUAACUCAGGGAAACUUGUGCUAAUACCGAAUGUGCCCUUCGGGGGAAAGAUUUAUCGCCUUUAGAGCGGCCCGCGUCUGAUUAGCUAGUUGGUGAGGUAAAGGCUCACCAAGGCUACGAUCAGUAGCUGGUCUGAGAGGAUGACCAGCCACAUUGGGACUGAGACACGGCCCAAACUCCUACGGGAGGCAGCAGUGGGGAAUCUUGCGCAAUGGGCGAAAGCCUGACGCAGCCAUGCCGCGUGGAUGAUGAAGGUCUUAGGGUUGUAAAGCUCUUUUACCCGGGAUGAUAAUGACAGUACCGGGAGAAUAAGCCCCGGCUAACUCCGUGCCAGCCGCCGCGGUAAGAC